AGAAUAGGUGUUUGCAGGAGUAGACAAACUUUUUUUUCUCUUGAUAAAUAAAUGUAUUAAACUGCAAGUGGUUGCAUUAAUACUGUUGAAUAGAUAAAGAUUUUGAUUUCCUAGAUCUGUGUCUGACUUGAUUGGCAAUGUUUAGACUUCUGAAAUAAAGCAAUUGUUUCCUAUAAGUCACUGAAUUGGCAUGUAAUGGCUGCCUUGUAGGGCAGGGUGUGUUUUUUCUUUUGGUCACCAGUUUCAGGUGGUACCUUCCAUGUUUGUGUUUGCUUAUGAAUUUUAUUUUAAAAAGUAGUUAUUCUCAAAUAUAGGAAUGAAAAAUGUAGGCAAUCCCUAGCUGUUUUGCCAGAAGUUGGGUGUCAUUAAAGACAAAAAUAGCUUGAAUAUCGAUUACUGGUACUUUUUUUUUUUUUAACUUUACUCUUAUUUCAACUCUUUCUAGGAAAGAAAAAAGAAUGUAUGAAAUAGUGUUAUUUUCCAUAGCUCAGGCUGAAGUUUUAUUUUUCUUCUAAAUAUAAAAGUCAUUAUAUGCAUCUGGGAUAGGUUUUGUAAAGAUUUAUAAAGAAAGGGUUUGGGUUUCAUUUAUGUUGUUGUUGAGGUGUUUUUUUUGUUUGUUUUUCCAAAAGGAAUGUAAGAUCCCUCACAGUUUCUGUGGUUCCCUUUGGUGUCCUACUAAUCAUUUUCAAAGAAAAUAUGUUGGUAUACUCCAUGUUAUACUUCACAAAUUUAAAUGUCCAAGAGCCUUCUUCUUGACUUAGGACAAGAAUAGGAGCUGCUGUAUGGUUAUUCACAUGUUUACAGAAAUUCUAUCUAAAAUCUGUGUGGUUUUGUUUUUCUUUUUGAUGCCAGAUUCCAAAAAAAAAAAAAGAGCUAUACAAAUAUUUUGUAAUUUAGUGUUUAUAACCUCGAUUUUAUUUUUUUUUAGAUUCAAGUUUUUAUUCUUAAAUUGAAAUUUCAUUCUUCAGUAUAUAUACCUUGGUUAAUGGGUUUGUGUCAUUUGGUCCAAAGUUUGAAAACAAAUUAGAAUGAUGUCUGACUGCCCUACAUAAAGUUAAGUCUAUAAAAUUUAAUUUUUAUGGAACUAAGCCAUGGAAGAAGUUGGAGAGGGAUAUUUAUAAAACCUUGAUUGCCUCCUGGAUUCAAUCUGUCAUUUUUAAGCCUUUUGGGCUAUCCAGUGAAAAAUUAAAGAGACUGGCUGAUCAUUCAAGUAGAGGUUCUGGACAUCCAGGUACAAGGAUGUGGAACAUCAUGGACUUGGAAGUUUCCUCAGAAUUAUCAUUGAUACUUUCACUAUGUGCUGCCUGACCAAAGAUGGCAGUAAUGAAAAUAUUGAUUCCCUUGAGGAAGUCCUUAAUAUUUUAGCAGAGGAAAGCUCUGAUUGGUUUUAUGGCUUUCUCUCAUUUCUCUAUGAUGUAUUGACUCCUUUUGAAAUACUAGAAGAAGAAGAGAGCGAAGCUGCAGAUGAUGUUGAUGGUACGUCACAGAAUGAA